rnacentral:rRNA from 1 species
GGGGAAUAUUGCACAAUGGGGGAAACCCUGAUGCAGCGACGCCGCGUGAGUGAAGAAGUAAUUCGUUACGUAAAGCUCUAUCAGCAGGGAAGAAACACUGACCUUACGGUCAGCAGACGGUACCUGAGUAAGAAGCCCCGGCUAACUAC